rnacentral:rRNA from 13 species
UAAAUAGGGAAUAGCGACUAGUUAAUAAAACUACAAGACUUUGCUAAAUUGUAAAAUGAUGUAUAAGGUCUGAUAUCUGCCCAGUGCUAGAAAGUUAUUUUAUGUGGUGAAAGCUAUGUAAAUAAGCUUUAGUAAACGGCGGUUGUAACUCUAACAAUCCUAAGGUAGCGAAAUUCCUAGUCAAUUAAUUGUUGACCUGCAUGAGAGAUAUAACGACUUUUCCACUGUCUCAAGAGUGAAUUCAGUGAAAUUAGAUUUUGCGUGAAGAUACGCAAUAACGGCAGUUAGACGGAAAGACCCCAUAAACCUUAACUAUAAUUUUAGAAUGUUUUUACAUAUAGCUUGUGUAGUAAUAAGUGGUAGUCGAUAGCAUGUCUUAACGUUAGUUAAUUACAGAGACAAAAAUGAAAGACCACUCUAGUUAUUUUGUAAAACUAAAUUAAAUUUUUAAUGAUAAUCUAAGAUGGUUAGUUUGACUGGGGCGGUAGUCUCCAAAAAAGUAACGGAGACCUACAAAGGUAGGCUCAAAUUUAGAUAAUAAAUUUUCGAACGCAAUGGUAUAUGCCUGCUUGACUGUGAGACAUACAAGUCGAACAGAGACGAAAGUCGGUCAUAGUGAUCCGGUGG